rnacentral:rRNA from 1 species
UGGAGGAUUUUUAGCAAUGGGCGAAAGCAUGAUUCUGCGACGCCGCGAGAGGGAUGAAGGAUUUCGGUUUGUAAACCUUUUUUGAUGGGGAAGAAAUCCCUCCCUUAAAUAGUGGCGGGGAGUGACGGUACCCAGAGAAGAAGCCACGGCCAACUCCGUGCCAGCAGCCGCGGUAAUACGGGGGUGGCGAGCGUUUCUUGGAUUUUUUGGGUGUAAAGGGCAGGUAGGUGUUCCAUACAAGUUAGAAGUGAAAUCCUUUGGCUCAACCAAAGAACUGCUUCUAAAACUGGCGGGAUUGAGGGUAAAAGAGGAGAGGGGAAUUCCCGGUGUAAGGGUGAAAUGUGUAGAUAUGGGAGGAAAACACCAGUGGAGAGAGCGGCUCUUUGGUUUAGUCCAGACACUGAGGUGCGAGAGCUAGGGGAGCAAACAGGAUUAGAUACCCUGGUAGUCCUAGCCGUAAAAGAUGAGCAAUAGGUGUUGGGAAGUUACCCUUUAGGCCGUAAGAUAACUCG